rnacentral:rRNA from 1 species
GUGAGGAAUCUUCCACAAUGGGCGAAAGCCUGAUGGAGCAACGCCGCGUGAAGGAUGAAGGCCUUCGGGUUGUAAACUUCUUUUAUGAGUGAAGAAUAUGACGGUAACUCAUGAAUAAGCACCGGCUAACUACGUGCCAGCAGCCGCGGUCAUACGUAGGGUGCAAGCAUUAUCCGGAGUGACUGGGCGUAAAGAGUUGCGUAGGCGGUUUAAUAAGUGAAUAGUGAAACCUGGUGGCUCAACCAUACAGACUAUUAUUCAAACUGUUAAACUCGAGAGUGGUAGAGGUAACUGGAAUUUCUAGUGUAGGAGUGAAAUCCGUAGAUAUUAGAAGGAACACCAAUGGCGUAGGCAGGUUACUGGACCAUUUCUGACGCUAAGGCACGAAAGCGUGGGGAGCGAACUGGAUUAGAAACCCUGGUAGUCC